CAAUUUAUCAAUACAGAGAAGAUUAGCAUCGCUCCUGCAUAAGGUUAGCGUAUUGUACAAAGAGAUUUAACAUUUUUUUUUGCAAAAU